AGGCCUCCCAUGCCGUCCCCCCUCAGCGUGGGAAGGGGGCCACGAGGAGACAAGGGUGACAGAUGCAACUCUGGAGAGGCCCAGGAGACCCCAAGCCCUUUGGACAUGGCCCAGCCCAGGCCGGCUUUUCCGUCUCCACUGCCUGUCCCUUCACCUGGACACUCCUCUCCCAACAGGAGAUCCUAGGAGGAGCCACCUGAGCUGCUGUCAUUCCACCCCCUGGCGGUUUAUACUGCCUUCUUGAUACUGCCACCUCCAGUCACUGGUGUUGGGCUUCUGAGGUGACCACUCUGCCUUCCUGGGGGUACAGGAAGACCAAGGUCUACAGAAGCACCUUCCAGGCUUGAGCUCGUUCACAGCCUGCCUGGCCCUGGGCUGGGGAACA
rnacentral:lncRNA from 1 species